rfam:Pseudozyma antarctica DNA, scaffold: scaffold_v10019, strain JCM 10317, whole genome shotgun sequence.
GGGGGUUUAGCUCAGUUGGUAGAGCGUUCGCUUAGCACUUGUCUAAAUUGCGAAAGGUCGCGUGUUCGACUCAUGCAGUCUCCA